rnacentral:rRNA from 1 species
UACAGAGGGGGCAAGCGUUGCUCGGAAUUACUGGGCGUAAAGGGCGCGUAGGCGGGAUGGCAAGUCGGUCGUGAAAUCCCUCGGCUCAACUGAGGAUCGUCGAUCGAUACUGCCGUUCUUGAGGAUUGCAGAGGAGACUGGAAUUCCCGGUGUAGCGGUGAAAUGCGUAGAUAUCGUAAGGAAGACCAGUGGCGAAGGCGGGUCUCUGGACAGUUCCUGACGCUGAGGCACGAAGGUCAGGGGAGCAAACGGG